GACGAACGCUGGUGGCGUGCUUAACACAUGCAAGUCGAACGGAAAGGCCCUGCUUGCAGGGUGCUCGAGUGGCGAACGGGUGAGUAACACGUGGGUGAUCUGCCCCUUACUUUGGGAUAAGCCUGGGAAACUGGGUCUAAUACUGGAUAGGACCAUGCUGUAGGUGGUGUGGUGGAAAGAUUAGUUUCGGUAAGGGAUGAGCUCGCGGCCUAUCAGCUUGUUGGUGGGGUAAUGGCCUACCAAGGCGUCGACGGGUAGCCGGCCUGAGAGGGUGGACGGCCACAUUGGGACUGAGAUACGGGCCAGACUCCUACGGGAGGCAGCAGUGGGGAAUAUUGCACAAUGGGCGCAAGCCGGAUGCAGCGACGCCGCGUGGGGGAUGACGGCCUUCGGGUUGUAAACUCCUUUCAGCCAUGACGAAGCCCUUGUGGUGACGGUAGUGGUAGAAGAAGCACCGGCUAACUACGUG
rnacentral:rRNA from 1 species